CAAAAUAGAGCUUGAUUAGUUAAGCAUUUCAUUUACACUGAAAUUACACUGUGCAAUUCAGUUUAUUUUGA
rnacentral:tRNA from 1 species